UGAUGGGUGAAUCUGAUCCCUCUCUCCCCUGUGGCGAGCUCCUGUGUGCCCCUCUUUCAUCCGCGUCUGCCACGAGACUGGAGAUCAGAAAUUUGGAAGAGCCUACAUGUUGGUGUGAGAUUUUAGAUCGUGUCUCUCUUUUGCUUGAUGCAGCUAGGUCUUGUUGACAUUGUCUCGUUGUAAUAUUGCCAAGAAUUUGGACGAAAAGUCAUCAUCAACGAUGUACGAAAAACUGUCUGAUCUACUGACUACUUCCUCCGUUCGGAAUUACUCGUCCAAGAAAUGAAUGUAUCUAGAUGUAUUUUAGUUGUAGAUACAUCCAUUUUUAUCCACAAGUAAUUCCCAACGGAGGGAGUAGUUGCUAAGUGUCUUGGCCUCAUGGGAUGAUCAAAUUCAGAAUUUGCAUUUUAU
rnacentral:lncRNA from 1 species